rnacentral:rRNA from 1 species
AGAGUUUGAUCCUGGCUCAGAGCGAACGCUGGCGGCAGGCUUAACACAUGCAAGUCGAGCGGGCGUAGCAAUACGUCAGCGGCAGACGGGUGAGUAACGCGUGGGAACAUACCUUUUGGUUCGGAACAACACAGGGAAACUUGUGCUAAUACCGGAUAAGCCCUUACGGGGAAAGAUUUAUCGCCGAAAGAUUGGCCCGCGUCUGAUUAGCUAGUUGGUGAGGUAACGGCUCACCAAGGCGACGAUCAGUAGCUGGUCUGAGAGGAUGAUCAGCCACAUUGGGACUGAGACACGGCCCAAACUCCUACGGGAGGCAGCAGUGGGGAAUAUUGGACAAUGGGCGCAAGCCUGAUCCAGCCAUGCCGCGUGAGUGAUGAAGGCCCUAGGGUUG